AUUGAACGCUGGCGGCAGGCCUAACACAUGCAAGUCGAGCGGAUGAAGGGAGCUUGCUCCUGGAUUCAGCGGCGGACGGGUGAGUAAUGCCUAGGAAUCUGCCUGGUAGUGGGGGAUAACGUCCGGAAACGGGCGCUAAUACCGCAUCCGUCCUGAGGGGGAAAGUGGGGGAUCUUCGGACCUCACGCUAUCAGAUGAGCCUAGGUCGGAUUAGCUAGUUGGUGGGGUAAAGGCCUACCAAGGCGACGAUCCGUAACUGGUCUGAGAGGAUGAUCAGUCACACUGGAACUGAGACACGGUCCAGACUCCUACGGGAGGCAGCAGUGGGGAAUAUUGGACAAUGGGCGAAAGCCUGAUCCAGCCAUGCCGCGUGUGUGAAGAAGGUCUUCGGAUUGUAAAGCACUUUAAGUUGGGAGGAAGGGCAGUAAGUUAAUACCUUGCUGUUUUGACGUUACCAACAGAAUAAGCACCGGCUAACUUCGUG
rnacentral:rRNA from 1 species